UGGAACUAUUGCACACUCCCUGUGGGCGUGAGGUACUUGCCUAUCCAAAUCAGAAGGACCUCUUUUUCAUUCCUUGAGCUUCUGCUCAUGCAUUCAGAACCAUUCCUAGGCCAAGGAAGAACACUCUGAUUUUGAGAUUCUGUAGAAUUAGAGAGCUGCUGCAGGAAUGGGAGAAGACAAACGCUUCAGGACCAUAGAAGGAGGGGCACAGGCAAUCAUAAAUCAGAGAAAGAUGCUGGUCCUGCAGAAAGAGCCACUAACCCUGGAGAGAGAGCCGCCUUGGUGCAUUGAUGACUGAUGAGCCGACAACAGUUGGAGAUGAGAGAAAGGAUAUGUGUGAACACAGCAAGAAGGUGGCUGUCUGUAAGCCAAAAAGGGAGGCCUCACCAGAAACCAACCCAGCUGGCACCUUGAUCUUGGACAUCCA
rnacentral:lncRNA from 1 species